rnacentral:misc_RNA from 1 species
GAUGAAGAACGCAGCGAAAUGCGAUAAGUAUGUGAAUUGCAGAAUUCAGUGAAUCAUCGAAUCUUUGAACGCACAUUGCGCCCCCCAGUAUUCUGGCGGGCAUGCCUGUUCGAGCGUCAUUUCAACCAUCAAGCCCUGCUUGUGUUGGGGUCCUGCGGCUGCCCGCAGGCCCUGAAAACCAGUGGCGGGCUCGCUAGUCACACCGAGCGCAGUAGCACAUCUCGCUCAGGGCGUGCGGCGGGCUCCAGCCGUUAAAGCACCCACCUUUCGCAAGGUUGACCUCGGAUCAGGUAGGAAUACCCGCUGAACUUAAGCAUAUCAAUAAGCGGAGGA